GUGCUCGCCACGGCGGCACAUAUACUAAAAUUGGAUCGAUACAGAGAAGAUUAGCAUGGCCCCUGCGAAAGGAUGACACGCAAAUCCGUAUUUGAUUGCCAUAUCCGU